AGUGAACGCUGGCGGCGUGCUUAACACAUGCAAGUCGAACGAGAACGGAAUAUAGCUUGCUAUAUUUGUCAGCUAAGUGGCGCACGGGUGAGUAAUGUAUAGAUAACCUGCCCUUAAGAAAGGAAUAACAGUUGGAAACGACUGCUAAUGCCCUAUAUGCCUUUAAUACAUAAGUAUGCAAGGGAAACGCUUUAGUGCUUAAGGAUGGGUCUGUAUGGUAUCAGCUUGUUGGUGAGGUAAUGGCUCACCAAGGCUAUGACGCCUAACUGGUUUGAGAGGAUGAUCAGUCACACUGGAACUGAGACACGGUCCAGACUCCUACGGGAGGCAGCAGUGGGGAAUAUUGCACAAUGGACGAAAGUCUGAUGCAGCAACGCCGCGUGGAGGAUGACACAUUUCGGUGCGUAAACUCCUUUUAUAUGAGAAGAUAAUGACGGUAUUAUAUGAAUAAGCACCGGCUAACUCCGUGCCAGCCGCCGCCGUAA
rnacentral:rRNA from 1 species